AAUAGGCCUACUGCCUGAAUCGGUCGCCAGUGUUUUUUUAACAGUUGGUUUCUGGUUGACCGACUUCAUUGGCGGAACCACAAGGUUUUUCAGGGUGUAGUGAUGGGUACAACAGCAGUGGUUGUCCACAGUUGUCUCAUUUCAACACGGCAUGGGCGUACCUGUCAUUAAGCUAGAACGCCCCUUUGGGCGUUCCUGGUACAGCAGCAUGGCCCAAUUGCAAGUGACACUGGAUACGUCACGAGUUUCCUGUAACUCAUGUCUCUUCAGCGGUGAUGGUGAUGGAGGAGACCACAAAACGUGAAGCUGUUUUUGUGAAGUGUGAUCAUUGAAUGAAUAAGAGAUGUCAGUGGACCAUCCCUUGGAGCUUAUUGGGAUGGAUUUGGUAGGCAAGCUUACACAAACAAACAAAGGCAAUCAGUAUAUGUGUGUCCUUGUGGACUACUAUACUAAG